GAGGGCAAUCGCACACGCCUGUUUAACCCAUCUUAAAUUUUAUCAUUUUGUAGCUUAAUUUGUUAAUUCUGGCCAGAGUUAUUAAAGAAAUAUCCGCAAUACAGUCAGCUCCGGAAAAUCAUCAGAUAGGACUUUGUAUCAAGACAUGCGUUGUAAUGAUUCCCUUGCUGGGUAUUACGUGGUUGUUUGGUAUCCUUUCUGCAUUUCACAAAGCUUUCGCUUAUGUAUUUACUAUCUUCAGCUCGACUCAGGGAUUUCUUAUUUUUCUUUUGCAUUGUGUGCGAAACACUCAGAUUAGAGAGUGGUCGAAGAGAAAGUUUAACGCCAUAUUUCCAGCUGCAAGUUGUAUGAGAUCUGACAGUGAAUAGAGUGUCUCCAUCCAAUCACAUCUCAUUUAUCAAGACUCAAUGAUGAUCGAUAGAAGAAAUAGGUCGUAGAGAUUAACGAGUUCUGUGAAGUGAUCUGUCAGUCCUUUAGCUAUUGGGGUGUUGCUCUUUCAUAAGUAUAAUUUUGUGAAAUGCCUUCGUAGUUUCAUAACUCUUUCAUCUGAAUUGUACGUUAUAAGUGAGUAGGCAGUGAUCAUGGAACAAUAACUUAACAGGGGUUUCCUUAUUGCAAUUAAGUUAAAAGGGAUAGAAUGGUGACAUUGGAGAAUUCAAGUAGAACUUCGCCUUUAAAAAGCUAUCUCGGUUUAAAAAUUGUUAUCUUAAAUGUCGGGCUCCGCUAAUGCGCCUCAUGCACAGCAUAGUUGCUAGAAUGCCAGACUAAGAAAAUCAUAAUUGAAAAGAAAGCCGAACAAUCAUCAAUGCCUUCAAUGAAGUGCUUACAGUACUACAGUCUUCAAUCAAAAGGAAGCUGGUCAUUAUGCAAACCUGUACCUAUAGGAUAGCUAUGAUAUAUGUAUAACGGGUCAAACUCGUCUGACUUGUCUGAUUUUCCAGUGUAUUUAAGUUACGAUAGUAAUUAUAAAAUUCGAACAAAUGAACAAUUUACAUAUACAAGGACUCGUUUGUUUGUGAGCUUGGUUUUCUUAGUUUUUGAAUGACUUAUCAACGUCUCAUCAUUAAAUAAUAAUUUAAUAAUCUCGGAAGAUAAAACAGCGAAAACCGAAGGGGGCAGAUGUUUGCAAUCUCUUCUCAGGAAACUGUCUAUGACACUUAGCUGCCCUUCAGGCAUGAGG